rnacentral:tRNA from 1 species
GACCAGGUGGUGGAACCGGCAGACACGCGGCGCUCAGAACGCCGUGCCUUCGGGCGUGGGAGUUCGACUCUCCCCUUGGUCA